CAGCCGCCGCGGUAAUACGUAGGGUGCGAGCGUUAAUCGGAAUUACUGGGCGUAAAGCGUGCGCAGGCGGUUGUGUAAGACAGGUGUGAAAUCCCCGGGCUUAACCUGGGAACUGCGCUUGUGACUGCACAGCUAGAGUAUGGCAGAGGGGGGUGGAAUUCCACGUGUAGCAGUGAAAUGCGUAGAGAUGUGGAGGAACGCCGAUGGCGAAGGCAGCCCCCUGGGCCAAUACUGACGCUCAUGCACGAAAGCGUGGGGAGCAAACAGGAUUAGAUACCCCGGUAGUCCCUGUCUCUUAUAC
rnacentral:rRNA from 1 species